AUGGUCACAUCACGUUGAAACAUCGGUUCUCCUACGAUCACCAAAGUUAAGUAACAUUGAGCUUGGUCAGUACCUAGAUGAGUGACCGCUUGGAGUAUCAGGUGUUGUAA